rfam:Felis catus isolate Cinnamon breed Abyssinian chromosome D4, whole genome shotgun sequence.
GCCUGGGUGGCUCAGUUGGUUAAGCAUCUGACUCCAGUUCAGGUCAUGAUCUCACAGUUUGUGGGUUCAAGCCCCACGUUGGGCU